UGCCCCGUGGCUCAGUUGGUUAGAGCGUGUGACUGUUAUGUUGCCAUCACAAGGUCGAGAGUUCGAGCCUCUCCGGGGCAG
rnacentral:tRNA from 1 species